rnacentral:lncRNA from 1 species
CCUCAAUAUAUUUGGACAUACUUACAUACAUUAUUUAUAUAGGGUUUGGGGAUGCGUGCCAUCUAGGAUACAUUCACGCAAUUUUCAUACAUAUAUAUUAUUAUAUGAUAUAAUUGACGUUUUUUUUUUUUUUUUUGCUAAACGUUACGAGUAGUUUGGGUUAUUGUUUCUUAAACCUGGGUCACUGUUUGAUAAUACUGUGUGGCGGAUCUACUAACCGUCGUAUGUAUUUUGAGUUUUGUAUAGUUAAUUAAUUAUGUGGAUUACUAUUUUACAUUUAGAGCUGAAUCUAACGAUCUAGAUUUAAUUGACAUAUAAACAUAAAACAGCUUGUUAGUAAAAAAACAUAAAUC